rnacentral:rRNA from 1 species
UACAGAGGGUGCGAGCGUUGUUCGGAAUUACUGGGCGUAAAGCGCGCGCAGGCGGCUUUUAAGUCCGUUGGUGAAAUGCCGGGGCUCAACCCCGUGCCCGCCAGGGAUACUGGAGAGCUGGAGACGAGUAGAGGCAAGCGGAAUUCCGGGUGUAGCGGUGGAAUGCGUAGAGAUCCGGAAGAACACCGGAGGCGAAGGCGGCUUGCUGGGCUCGGUCUGACGCUGAGGCGCGAAAGCGUGGGGAGCGAACAGG